rnacentral:rRNA from 1 species
GAUGAACGCUGGCGGCGUGCUUAACACAUGCAAGUCGAGCGAAGCAUUUUUAAGGAAGUUUUCGGAUGGAAUUAAAAAUGACUGAGCGGCGGACGGGUGAGUAACGCGUGGGUAACCUGCCUCAUACGGGGGGAUAACAGUUGGAAACGACUGCUAAUACCGCAUAAGCGCACAGUGUCACAUGACACGGUGUGAAAAACUCCGGUGGUAUGAGAUGGACCCGCGUCUGAUUAGGUGGUUGGUGAGGUAACGGCCCACCAAGCCGACGAUCAGUAGCCGACCUGAGAGGGUGACCGGCCACAUUGGGACUGAGACACGGCCCAAACUCCUACGGGAGGCAGCAGUGGGGAAUAUUGGACAAUGGGGGAAACCCUGAUCCAGCGACGCCGCGUGAGUGAAGAAGUAUUUCGGUAUGUAAAGCUCUAUCAGCAGGGAAGAAAAUGACGGUACCUGACUAAGAAGCCCCGGCUAACUACGUGCCAGCCGCCGCAGUAA